rnacentral:lncRNA from 1 species
CGGAGAGCCCGCGACCGUCCCUCACCUCCCCGCUGCGAGGCCCGCGGGCUGUGGAAUCUCGCACGUCACCUGGCCCCAGCGGGGCGGCCAGCUGAGGAUUUUAUUUUCCUAUUUUAUUUGAAGUAAAGGCUUCAUCUCGGCUUUGGGGGUGUUUGCCAACGUCUCUACUGACAGGAACCAGCAAACUUCAGGACUCAAAUGAGCAUCUUAAUUUAUUGAUGCAAAGCAGGCAGACCAUCCGCGGAAGAGCCUCACAGCAGGCUGGCUCCACAGCAGGAGAAGAAAGGUAGCCAAGGCACUGUAGAACAUCCUUUGGAUCCUGACUCCUU